AUGGAGCCCCGUGAGUUGCUGGAGGCGCUGGUGGACGUGGUGGCCGUCCUGGGAGAGCUGGCAGUUACUGUGGCUGGGCCCUACGGGGACGUGCUGCUGGCUGUGUCCCCACGGUCCCUGCACACGGCCCUGGAGACCUUCAUCAAUCACCUCUGUCGCGCCCUGAACGACCGUAUUGCCCCCCCCCCCCUGGGCAACGCCUCCCUGGGCCGGGCCCUGGCCGCCCUCGGGGCCACCCCAGGGGCCACCUGGGCCCAUGUGAGAAGUGCGGCCAGCGCCUGGCGGGACCCGGUGGCCGCGCUCAGGGAAGGCUGGGACCAGCUGGCCAGGGAGGCCAUCGAGCUCCGUGACGCCUGCAGGGCCGCGGCCACCAGGGAGGCCACCACAGCGGCCACCGCCACCACCCUGGCUGGGGAUCUGCAGGUCGAGGCCACACAGUGGGGGACAGCCACGGACAACCUGGUGGCCACGGCCUGGCAGGUGCCGCUGGCCCUGGACAAGGAGGAGGCGACCUCAGCGCUGGCUGCACAUGAGGCCUGGGUGGCAGCGGCCACCAACAAGGUGGUGGCGGCCACCAAGGCCACGGAAGAGACCGGGGUGGCCACCAGCGAGGCCAAGGCAGCCAGCAGGAGGGAACAGCGGGCAGAGGUGGCCCUGGAGCUGCUGGAGCGCUUGGUGGCUGUGUGUGACAAAGCCACCACGUUCCCCCGGGAGCUGCAGCGCCGGCUCGGGGACAUCGAGGCCACCCUGAAGGGGACAAAUGAGAUGUCCCCUGAUGUCCCUGAGUCCUUGGUGGCCGCAGUGGCCAAGGCUGAGCGGCUGUGGGAUGCCAGUGCCCGCCUGGCCACACGUUACCUGCAGAAAUCACUUGGGAAAAUCCGCAACCUCCUCUCAAGUUGUCCUGGUGGCUCCGGUGGCCCUCAUGAUGCCAGUGGCCCUGGGGUGGCUGAGUGGUGCCAAAAAGCCAUUGAGGACAUCCCAAAGCUGCUGCAAGAACAGUGAUGUCACAGCUGUGAGGUCAUCAAGGGUAGCGAAAUCAUCGGGGACACUCUGGGGCCACACAGGGACACUCAGAACCGUUGUUGCAGCUUGGGGGCAUGAUGAGGCAGCUUUCCUCUGUGGGUGCAGCAGACUAUUUCUCAAGCCUCCUCAAAAACCUUCAGGUCCCUUUCCCUCCAUGGGCAGUUUCACCUCAAAUGCCCAAUUUCCCUGCACUGCUGACAGAUUGGGCCUCGGUUGUUCAAUUGCCCUUUCCCCUUUUAGGGUCCCUCCCCCAGGGAGCUCUGUUCCCAUUAUCCUCCCCCUACUCCUGCUUGCCUUGCCCUGACAGGGGCUCAAUUCCCUCUGGGGGUGGGUCCUUGCACGUCUGGUUCCCCUCGGCAAUAGCGGCUGCCAUUCUUUUCCCUUUCCCCAUGGCUUUCUCCUCAUCCCACCAUACACUGACCUUCUGGGCUUCUUUUAACAGGUCAUUCAACCCCUUAUCUUGGCAUUCCCUUUCUAGCUUCUCCUUAUAUCCAGCCCAGCAUAAGUGACAAAGUUUAUCUUCAAUAAAGCUUGUCCAGCUUUUGUAUCAGUCUACAC
ensembl:lncRNA